CAGUCGCCACGGUAAUACGUAGGUGGCAAGCGUUGUCCGGAAUUAUUGGGCGUAAAGCGCGCGCAGGUGGUUUAAUAAGUCUGAUGUGAAAGCCCACGGCUCAACCGUGGAGGGUCAUUGGAAACUGUUAAACUUGAGUGCAGGAGAGAAAAGUGGAAUUCCUAGUGUAGCGGUGAAAUGCGUAGAGAUUAGGAGGAACACCAGUGGCGAAGGCGGCUUUUUGGCCUGUAACUGACACUGAGGCGCGAAAGCGUGGGGAGCAAACAGGAUUAGAUACCCCAGUAGUCCCUGUCUCUUAUAC
rnacentral:rRNA from 1 species